CUUAUUUGAUAGGGUGCCCGUACCGUUAACCGACACAGGUGGAAUAGAUGAGUAUUCUAAGGCGCGUGGGUUAAAUCUCUCUAAGGAACUCGGCAAACUGACCCCGUAUGUUAGCUAUAAGGGGUGCCUCGCAAGAGGCCACAGAUAAGAGUGUCAACCGACUGUUUAGCAAAAACACAGCUCUCUGCUAAGUCGCAAGACGACGUAUAGGGAGUGACAUGUGACCAAUGCGGAAAGGUGAAAGCCUGGGGUGCAAGCUCCGGGUCUAAGCCCCCGUGAAUGUCGGCCGUAACUAUAACGGUCCUAAGGUAGCGAAAUUCCUUGUCGGGUAAGUUCCGACCCGCACGAAUCAUGUAACGAGUUGACAACUGUCUCGGAGAGAGGCCCAGUGAAAUUGUAGUGGCGGUGAAGAUGCCGCCUACCCGCAGCAGGACGGAAAGACCCUAUGCACCUUUACUGUAAGCUGUUAUUGUCGCUUGAUUUUUAAUACGUAGCAUAGCUGGGAGACUGCGAAGCCUGCCUUCAGGGGCGGGCCGAGUCGAAAUAUGAAAUACCAGUUUUUAAUUGUUAGGCGUCUAACCUCGACCCAUUAUCUGGGCGUGGGACAGUGAUAGCAGGUCAGUUUUUCUGGGGCGGAAUCCUCCCAAAGAGUAACGGAGGAUUACGAAGGUUCCCUCAGCCCGGUCGGUAAUCGGGCUAUAGAGCGCAUGAGUAUAAGGGAGCUUUACUGUGAGACCAACAAGUCGAGCAGUUGCGAAAGCAGGUUCAAGUGAUCCGGUGGUUGAAUGUGGAAUCGCCAUCGCUCAUAGGACAAAAGGUACGCUAGGGAUAACAGGCUGAUCGCGCCCAAGCGUUCACAGCGACGGCGCGGUUUGGCACCUCGAUGUCGGCUCAUCACAUCCUGGGGCUGGAGAAGGUCCCAAGGGUCCGGCUGUUCGCCGGUUAAAGUGGUACGCGAGCUGGGUUCAGAACGUCGUGAGACAGUUUGUCCUCUAUCCGCUGUGGGCGUUUGUGAUUUGAGGGGUUCAUUCUCUAGUACGAGAGGACCGAGAAUGACGCACCGCUGGUGUUCCGGUUGUCACGUCAGUGGCAGCGCCGGGUAGCUAUGUGCGGAAGAGAUAAGCGCUGAAAGCAUCUAAGCGCCAAGCUCCUCCCAAGAUAAGAUCACAAUCCGUCGCAAGACGGUGCAAGGUCCGGGUAGACCACCCGGUUGAUAGGACAGAAGUGCAAGCGUAGUAAUACGUUCAGCUUACUGUUACUAAUGACC
rnacentral:rRNA from 1 species